rnacentral:lncRNA from 1 species
CCAUGUAUACUUGUGUGUUGUGCGUAUAUAGAUUUUACCCAACACAAGGUCCCAUUGUGCACAUCAAUCAUGGUCCUUGCUGUUUUCAGGAAUGGUCUUCCUAACAAGAUGUUGGGAAAGGUUUGGUGAUGCAUCAUCUUCCAUAUCCAUAAUGUAAAAAUCUACAAGAAAGAUUAGUUUGUUCACCUGCACUAAGAUAUCUUCAAUUACCC